GACAUGCACGUAGAUAGACGUGAACAAACAUAGGUUGACAAGAGGGCUGGGGAAAUUGGCGAAGGUGUAGGAGAUGAAAAACAGACAUCCUUCAGUUAUCCUUCAAAUUUAGAGGCACUCUUCGCUCAUCCCGUUGCUCAGAGGAGAAAAGCGCACCUGCUCCUUGGCAAGUCCAAACGCUGUCUGCCGCGCCUCCUUGGUGACAUAGGCGCUUGUGGAGAAUGUUGUGCUUGAAGAAGCAGCUGCUACAGUUAAGGAAAGUGGCAGCCAUGGCGACGCAGCUCUGACAGGCAACCUUACAGGCGGUGUGCGGACGGGACAGGAUGUUAGCAUCGACGAAGGCCGAGCACGAUGCUUCGCCAAAGUAACGUGGUGCUGUUUCAUGGCGCACAACUACAAAUAAAAUCGAAAUGAAAUAACCCUGAAAUAUACAAGGAGUUUGAAUAAUGAUAUGGAGAUAUAUUGUGUUGUGAAUUAGACGAUAUUCCGGUCAGACCUCUCUUGUAACGCUGCUAAGGCAGCCCUUGGCUUUUUCAUAAGUACUGGGUACGGUGAAGGUGGUUGCUAAGGUUGUACGGGUCGAAAGUGAGACGAAGGUUGCAUUUGGUGGGAGAGGAAGUGUGAAAGGUAUGUUUUUAUUACAGAGAUUUAAGGUGCUUGAUAGAGAUUUGAGGCGUUUAUUUGGCCAGGAUCAGACCCUAUCUUGCCAUCGUUCGGAGACAGUCGGUGUGUAGGCGCACCGCUUCUCCCUUUCUCUCACUUCAUACCUUAAUUUCCCGUAUCAUCUACUCCUUAUAUUAUAGUCGACUCGGCGUCCUUUCUGACGCGCGGCUCAAUAACUUCCGAAACGCGGAUUGCUGCCGCGCAAACUUCUUGACGCGACGUCGCCUACAAUCUGCUGUGGAUCAGCCUAGUCUACAUCAUCCUUUACCGACGUCAAAUUCGCUGCUGCAUUCGUAGACAGUGGAAAUU
rnacentral:lncRNA from 1 species